rnacentral:rRNA from 1 species
AGGAUGAACGCUGGCGGUCUGCUUAACACAUGCAAGUCGAACGGAGUAGCAAUACUUAGUGGCGGACGGGUGAGUAACGCGUGAGAAUCUACCUUCAGGACGGAGACAACAGUUGGAAACGACUGCUAACCCCCGAUGUACCGCAAGGGCAAAUAUUUAUAGCCUGAAGAAGAGCUCGCGUCCGAUUAGCUAGUUGGAGAGGUAAAAGCUCACCAAGGCGACGAUCGGUAGCUGGUCUGAGAGGACGAUCAGCCACACUGGGACUGAGACACGGCCCAGACUCCUACGGGAGGCAGCAGUGGGGAAUUUUCCGCAAUGGGCGAAAGCCUGACGGAGCAAGACCGCGUGGGGGAAGAAGGCUCUUGGGUUGUAAAACCCCUUUUCUCUGGGAAGAACACAAUGACGGUACCAGAGGAAUCAGCAUCGGCUAACUCCGUGCCAGCAGCCGC